CAGUCGCCGCGGUAAUACGUAGGGUGCGAGCGUUAAUCGGAAUUACUGGGCGUAAAGCGUGCGCAGGCGGUUCGUUAAGACAGAUGUGAAAUCCCCGGGCUUAACCUGGGAACUGCAUUUGUGACUGGCGAUCUAGAGUAUGGCAGAGGGGGGUAGAAUUCCACGUGUAGCAGUGAAAUGCGUAGAGAUGUGGAGGAAUACCGAUGGCGAAGGCAGCCCCCUGGGCCAAUACUGACGCUCAUGCACGAAAGCGUGGGGAGCAAACAGGAUUAGAUACCCCGGUAGUCCCUGUCUCUUAUAA
rnacentral:rRNA from 1 species